GAAUGUUUGUAUCAAAUUGCAUGUCUGGUAAAGAAUUGUAAGUACGACACAUGUAUAUGAGGUGGUUUUGACUAGAAAGCUUUAAAAGUUGAGAAUAAUUGUAAAUCUGUUUACAUGCGGAAGUGGAAGUUGUUCUGUUCACUGUACAUUAUAUGAAUAUACAAGGUAUGUAGGCUUCAAUAGUUCAGUUUGUUUUAGUUUAAAAAUAAUAUUUAUCUUUCCAAAAACUGCUUUGACCGUUUGAGAUUAAGUUUCUGAAGUGAGGACCUUGCGCGAUAUCCAGUCAUACGAUUGCUUGGCACCGCGGUAUAUGGAACAUAAUUAUCUUGCAUUCUGCCUGUCCAACUUUCCAUGUUGAUCAAAAAUGGGGAUUGACUUCUCAGAUUCGGAACAAUAUAUCAUGACCAUGUCAAUAUAAUUUGCGCGUAUCCUUAGCGGGAGGGGGGGGGGGGUGUUCGCGCAAUGAGAAUGUGUUUGUCCAGGGCGUAAGCUAGUCAGAUGGUGUGUUGAUCAUGUUACAGGGCGGGGAAUAAAUGUGGAACUGAAUGCGCGCUGAUGAACGAUCACUUUCGACGCCCAGCAUAGUUUGUGUUGAAGACAAUUUUAUACGGUUUCCUUGUUACAUUAACCAACAAAUCAG